rnacentral:misc_RNA from 1 species
AUUACAGAGACUCUGCCCUUUGGGUAGACCUCCCACCCUGUGUCGUUAUACCUUUGUUGCUUUGGCGGGCCGCGGGGCUCCGGCCCCGCCCCUGGCUCCGGCUAGGGCGCGCCCGCCAGAGGACUACAGAACCUGAAUGUUUAGUGUCGUCUGAGUACUAUAUAAUAGUUAAAACUUUCAACAACGGAUCUCUUGGUUCUGGCAUCGAUGAAGAACGCAGCGAAAUGCGAUAAGUAAUGUGAAUUGCAGAAUUCAGUGAAUCAUCGAAUCUUUGAACGCACAUUGCGCCCCUUGGUAUUCCGGGGGGCAUGCCUGUUCGAGCGUCAUUACAACCCUCAAGCUCUGCUUGGUCUUGGGCGCCACCGGUCCCCCGGUGUGCCUUAAAAUCAGUGGCGGCGCCACCUGGCUCUAAGCGUAGUACCUACUCUCGCUACAGAUGCCCGGCGGACGCUGGCCAGCAACCCCCAAUCUAUCAAGGUUGACCUCGGAUCAGGUAGGGAUACCCGCUGAACUUAAGCAUAUCAAUAAGCGGAGGAAAAGAAACCAACAGGGAUUACCUCAGUAACGGCGAGUGAAGCGGUAACAGCUCAAAUUUGAAAUCUGGGCCUUUCAGGCUCCGAGUUGUAAUUUGUAGAAGAUGCUUUGGGUGCGGCCCCGGUCUAAGUUCCUUGGAACAGGACGUCAUAGAGGGUGAGAAUCCCGUAUGUGAUCGGUGGCUUGCGCCCGUGUAAAGCUCUUUCGACGAGUCGGGUUGUUUGGGAAUGCAGCUCUAAAUGGGUGGUAAAUUUCAUCUAAAGCUAAAUAUUGGCCAGAGACCGAUAGCGCACAAGUAGAGUGAUCGAAAGAUGAAAAGCACUUUGGAAAGAGAGUUAAACAGUACGUGAAAUUGUUGAAAGGGAAGCGCUUGCAACCAGACUUGCGCGGGGUUGAUCAUCCGGGGUUCUCCCCGGUGCACUCGGCCCCGCUCAGGCCAGCAUCGGUUUUGGUGGUUGGAUAAAGGCCUUGGGAAUGUGACUUCUUUCGGGGAGUGUUAUAGCCCUCGGUGCAAUGCAGCCUACCGGGACCGAGGACCGC